AUUGAACGCUGGCGGCAUGCCUUACACAUGCAAGUCGAACGGCAGCACGGGGGCAACCCUGGUGGCGAGUGGCGAACGGGUGAGUAACAUAUCGGAACAUACCCUAGAGUGGGGGAUAACGUAGCGAAGUUACGCUAAUACCGCAUACGAUCUAAGGAUGAAAGUGGGGGAUCUUCGGACCUCAUGCUCAUGGAGUGGCCGAUAUCUGAUUAGCUAGUUGGUGAGGUAAAGGCUCACCAAGGCGACGAUCAGUAGCUGGUUUGAGAGAACGACCAGCCACACUGGAACUGAGACACGGUCCAGACUCCUACGGGAGGCAGCAGUGGGGAAUUUUGGACAAUGGGGGCAACCCUGAUCCAGCAAUGCCGCGUGAGUGAAGAAGGCC
rnacentral:rRNA from 1 species